rnacentral:rRNA from 1 species
CCCUUAGAUGUUCUGGGCCGCACGCGUGCUACACUGAGUGGAUCAGCGGGUCAGGUUGCGCGAAAGUGUUUCCGAAUCUUGAAAUCCGCUCGUGAUGGGGAUUGACGGUUGCAAUUUUCCGUCAUGAACGAGGAAUACCUUGUAAGCGCGGGUCAUCAUCCCGCGCUGAAUACGUCCCUGCCCUUUGUACACACCGCCCGUCGCUCCUACCGAUUGAGUGGUCCGGUGAGGCUUUGGGAUCUGAGCGGAAAGAGCGUUUCGCUGUUUCUGCUCGGAAAACUCAGUCGAACCUUAUCAUUUAGAGGAAGGAGAAGUCGUAACA